rnacentral:rRNA from 1 species
GAUGAACGCUGGCGGCGUGCCUAAUACAUGCAAGUCGAGCGAACGGACGAGAAGCUUGCUUCUCUGAUGUUAGCGGCGGACGGGCGAGUAACACGUGGAUAACCUACCUAUAAGACUGGGAUAACUUCGGGAAACCGGAGCUAAUACCGGAUAAUAUUUUGAACCGCAUGGUUCAAAAGUGAAAGACGGUCUUGCUGUCACUUAUAGAUGGAUCCGCGCUGCAUUAGCUAGUUGGUAAGGUAACGGCUUACCAAGGCAACGAUGCAUAGCCGACCUGAGAGGGUGAUCGGCCACACUGGAACUGAGACACGGUCCAGACUCCUACGGGAGGCAGCAGUAGGGAAUCUUCCGCAAUGGGCGAAAGCCUGACGGAGCAACGCCGCGUGAGUGAUGAAGGUCUUCGGAUCGUAAAACUCUGUUAUUAGGGAAGAACAUAUGUGUAAGUAACUGUGCACAUCUUGACGGUACCUAAUCAGAAAGCCACGGCUAACUACGUGCCAGCAGCCGCGGUAAUACGUAGGUGGCAAGCGUUAUCCGGAAUUAUUGGGCGUACAGCGCGCGUAGGCGGUUUUUUAAGUCUGAUGUGAAAGCCCACGGCUCAACCGUGGAGGGUCAUUGGAAACUGGAAAACUUGAGUGCAGAAGAGGAAAGUGGAAUUCCAUGUGUAGCGGUGAAAUGCGCAGAGAUAUGGAGGAACACCAGUGGCGAAGGCGACUUUCUGGUCUGUAACUGACGCUGAUGUGCGAAAGCGUGGGGAUCAAACAGGAUUAGAUACCCUGGUAGUCCACGCCGUAAACGAUGAGUGCUAAGUGUUAGGGGGUUUCCGCCCCUUAGUGCUGCAGCUAACGCAUUAAGCACUCCGCCUGGGGAGUACGACCGCAAGGUUGAAACUCAAAGGAAUUGACGGGGACCCGCACAAGCGGUGGAGCAUGUGGUUUAAUUCGAAGCAACGCGAAGAACCUUACCAAAUCUUGACAUCCUUUGACAACUCUAGAGAUAGAGCCUUCCCCUUCGGGGGACAAAGUGACAGGUGGUGCAUGGUUGUCGUCAGCUCGUGUCGUGAGAUGUUGGGUUAAGUCCCGCAACGAGCGCAACCCUUAAGCUUAGUUGCCAUCAUUAAGUUGGGCACUCUAAGUUGACUGCCGGUGACAAACCGGAGGAAGGUGGGGAUGACGUCAAAUCAUCAUGCCCCUUAUGAUUUGGGCUACACACGUGCUACAAUGGACAAUACAAAGGGCAGCGAAACCGCGAGGUCAAGCAAAUCCCAUAAAGUUGUUCUCAGUUCGGAUUGUAGUCUGCAACUCGACUACAUGAAGCUGGAAUCGCUAGUAAUCGUAGAUCAGCAUGCUACGGUGAAUACGUUCCCGGGUCU